CUCACGACGGACCCUCCUGAGUUCCACAGUCUGAGGGAAUGAACCAAUUGUAGUUGUGGGGAGAACGGGAAGGUUGAGCUUUUUCUGCUGAGCAUCCAAUCUAGCAGAAACAUUGGUAGCACGGCGGUGGUCAGAGCCCUUCAAAGCAGCUGCCUGUAAGAAAUGUAUUUCUGGUUAAGAAUUGCUGUGUACUAACAUCCAAUUGAGCAUUUAUUGAGUAAAGCUCUGUUACUUACCGCCUUCUGAACCUCCUGAUUUGUCACUCUCGGUGAUGACUUCCUUGAGGCCAGAGCAGCAGCAUUGGCUGCAAAGUAAGCCUGUACACGAACAUGUCAAUACAAAUAAAAAAAAUAAUUUAGGUACAGACUGGGAGGACUCUGCUAAAGUUAAAAGGCCUCAGAGAAUGAAGGGAAAAGAACAGUGUCGAACCUCAUCCUUUUGACCUGCCAAAGCCUUGGCAAGGGCAUUGACCUCAACAACCUUUUGGGCAGCAAAUGCGAGCCAUGACUUGAUCUCAUCAUCGAGCUUAGUCUCAUUUACAAGAUCAACAGCAGUGUGCAUCAGCGAGCAGGAGGUUGACACCACGAGCUUGUCUGAACAUGUACAUAGUUAUUGAAUAACUUAUGCAGUGAGGAAGACAGAUAAUAAGAAUAUAUCUUUCACUGCUUACCCUUGCCAGCAACAGCCUCAAGAGACUGAAGAGUGCUGAGAGAUGCAGCAAGGUCAUCAGCCCAAAUGUUCCGCCCAUCUACAACUCCGGCAAAAAGGUAUUUUCCAGAGGGGAAGCUGCUCCUAAUAAGAUCAAGUGUCUUGGCUCCACGGAUGAGAUCAAAACCAUAAGCAGUCACACCACUCAAGGAUGUGAGAGUCCUGCAUUUGCAAAAGAAUGAGUGUUCAGUUUUCUUUCUCAACUAAAUUACUCGGAAAGGGACAUGAUGGUGAAGAAGAGGAUUUUUAAUACUGGAAAACAUACUUGUAGGAUUCAGCAGGAAUAUCAGCAAAGUAUGUCUCAAUAAGCACAUUCAAUCCAGAGAGUGCUGACUCCAGUUCAGCAUAUGCUGAAGAGAAUGCAGCCAAUUCAUGAGCAUCAAGGUCCUUAACAAGGGUAGGCUCAUCAAACUGAAUCCAUGAAGCACCAGCUGCCUUCAGCUCAGCAACAACCUCCCUGAAUGCAGAACAUACCACAUUAUAAACUAAAGAGGUUCAAGCUGAAAAAAGAAAUUUAGCUGUUUGAUAUGGAUGCUUACUUGUAGAUGGGAAGGAUGCUACCAAGAAGUGAAAGAAGAGAGAAAGACUUCUCCACACCCUUGGCAGGCUUAGAGAGCAACAAGUAGGAGACUGGUCCAAUAAGCACUGGGACAGUAUCAAUGCCGAGCUGCAUAAGGGGCAACAAAAUGCAAGUGAGCAGGCAUUAUUUUCACAAAAAAUAGCAUGCCACUUCCUUUACAGGGUAAAAAACACCACUGAAAAAAAAAAGAUCACUCUGGGAGUCCUAGUGUAUUACUAUUAUGCAAUUUGGAACAAGUAAUUUUAUGUGGCAGUUAUGCAUUAUGAUGUAGCACUACUUUCUUCAUGAUGGCAAAGUUUGCCUGUUCCAAGACGAUCCAUUUUUGGACUUCAAAUAAGGCUUGCAAAAGUCAACAAGUUACAAUUUACUCCAAUGUUGUGGAAUGUCCAUAUAUAUACUGAAGGAUUAAACCAGUAAAGGACUCAAAUAAGCCAUAUACUUGGUAUGACUGAAGAUCUAUUAACAAAAGUAGACACGCUAAACUAAUAAUAUACGUCGGAGUCAGAUCAUAUUCAGAUAGCUCGGAGACAUACACAUGGGAUGGUGCACUUUUCUCCUCUGUAUUACUAAAUCGCACAGGCAUACAAACUAUGACUAUAUAACAAAAUUACAGCUAGCUGAAACAGUACUGUGGUUACAGCUACAUACCGCCUUUGCCUCCUUGUACUCAGAGACAGCCUUGUGUGAAGCGUAUGAGAACUUGGUGCUUGGGCCGAGUUCAGGGACAAUAAAGUGGCUGCAAAGAGAAAGGUAAUAAAAAAAUGUUAGAUCAAUACCACAAAAGGCGACCUGUUGGUAAACAUUCAAGAGGUCGGAGUUGACUUACUAGUUUGUGUCAAACCACUUGGUCAUCUCCAUAGCAGGGACAGUGGCAUUUCCCCUGGCCAUUGAGAAGUAGGUGCUCAAACCAAUCUCACCUCCGGUCCAAGAGUAGCGCUCUGGGACAGCUCCAAGCAUGGCGGUCGUAUCAAGGACCUGGUCAUAGUAUGAGAAAGUGUUGCUGGGAAUGUACUUGAUCCCAG
rnacentral:lncRNA from 1 species